AGAGUUUGAUCCUGGCUCAGGAUGAACGCUAGCGACAGGCUUAACACAUGCAAGUCGAGGGGCAGCGGGGGCGUAGCAAUAUGCCUGCCGGCGACCGGCGCACGGGUGAGUAACACGUAUGUCACCUGCCCUAUGCAGGGGGAUAACCCGGAGAAAUCCGGCCUAAUACCGCGUAACACCUUAGGAGGAGCAUUCUCUUGAGGUUAAAGGAGAGAUCCGGCAUUGGAUGGACAUGGGUCGCAUUAGGUAGACGGCGGGGUAACGGCCCACCGUGCCGACGAUGCGUAGGGGUUCUGAGAGGAAGGCCCCCCACACUGGUACUGAGACACGGACCAGACUCCUACGGGAGGCAGCAGUGAGGAAUAUUGGUCAAUGGCCGAGAGGCUGAACCAGCCAAGUCGCGUGAGGGAAGAAUGUCCUAGGAUUGUAAACCUCUUUUGUCGGGGAGCAAAAAGGCUCUGCGGAGUCGUAUUGAGAGUACCCGAAGAAAAAGCAUCGGCUAACUCCGUGCCAGCAGCCGCGGUAAUACGGAGGAUGCGAGCGUUAUCCGGAUUUAUUGGGUUUAAAGGGUGCGCAGGCGGCGUGUCAAGCAAGCGGUAAAAUAGCGGGGCUCAACCCCGUCGAGCCGUUUGAACUGGCGCGCUUGAGUUCAGGCGAGGUAGGCGGAAUUCGUGGUGUAGCGGUGAAAUGCAUAGAUAUCACGAAGAACUCCGAUUGCGAAGGCAGCUUACCAGUCUGCGACUGACGCUCAGGCACGAAAGUGUGGGUAUCGAACAGGAUUAGAUACCCUGGUAGUCCACACAGUAAACGAUGAGCGCUAGGUGUCCGGGUCGCAUGAGACUUGGGUGCCCGAGCGAAAGCGUUAAGCGCUCCACCUGGGGAGUACGCCGGCAACGGUGAAACUCAAAGGAAUUGACGGGGGCCCGCACAAGCGGAGGAACAUGUGGUUUAAUUCGAUGAUACGCGAGGAACCUUACCCGGGCUCAAACGACUCAGGAAUAUAUUGGAAACGAUGUAGCCAGCAAUGGUCUGAGUCGAGGUGCUGCAUGGUUGUCGUCAGCUCGUGCCGUGAGGUGUCGGCUUAAGUGCCAUAACGAGCGCAACCCCUACCGCCAGUUGCCAACGGGUAAAGCCGGGAACUCUGGCGGGACUGCCGGCGCAAGCUGUGAGGAAGGCGGGGAUGACGUCAAAUCAGCACGGCCCUUACGUCCGGGGCGACACACGUGUUACAAUGGCAGGUACAGCGGGAAGCCACCUGGUGACAGGGAGCGGAACCCGAAAGCCUGUCUCAGUUCGGAUUGGAGUCUGCAACUCGACUCCAUGAAGCUGGAUUCGCUAGUAAUCGCGCAUCAGCCAUGGCGCGGUGAAUACGUUCCCGGGCCUUGCACACACCGCCCGUCA
rnacentral:rRNA from 1 species